GGGGCAUUAAGGCCUGGUUUUGGCCCAAGAAAAUAAAAUGUUUGAUAACUUUUUCAAAUUGGCACAUAAUCUUUAGAAAUGCAUAGGGUCAAGAAAUAUAAAUGAAAAACAUUAAGAUUCUGAUGUGAUGACGUCACAAUUGCGUCAUAAUAUGUACUGUUUUCACAAAAACGAUAAAAAUUCAGAAUUUAUGCAGUUUUCUAUCUUUAUUUCUGUUGUGGAAACAUCGUGCGCAGCCA
rnacentral:lncRNA from 1 species